rnacentral:lncRNA from 1 species
AUGGUCAGGGACAGCAUUUCUGAAGGGAUGACCUCGAAGGCUGAACUGUGGAAGAAAUGUGCCGUUGCAGAGCUAGGAGAAUAUUCUCCUAGCAACAGGGGUGGAGGCCAUGGAUUUGGAAAGUCCUCUUCAUGUGGGAGGGACCUCCAGGGUGUCAUCAACAUAGCAGAGUACAGAGACUGGAGGAGGAAGGCACUCAUGUCCCACUUUAUAAGUGAGACAAUCCAAACCUGGAAGUGUUACGUCCUUUAUCCUCAGAUGGCGUCCCAUGCACUGCCUGCAUCCACAUCGGCUUCCCCGCAAGUUGGCGAGAGAUGCAGAGUCUCAGCCCCAUCACGAUCUACUGAAUCAGAAACUUCAUUCUAACAAGAUCCUCCCUCCUGUGAUUCCCAUUCACAUAAACAGUUUAAAGAACACCCAAGAUCCCAAGGGCCAGUCAAACCCACAGCCAAGCUGACUGUAGAGCAGAUACUAAACUGUCUCAACGUGUAGAGUGCUCAUCAAAGAAAGUGCUCCAACUGUAUAAUUUCCCUUCCUCCAGUAAUUAUUUAUUUGGCCAAGCUGCCUUCUCUAUACCUGUCCACAAGCCAUUCCUUACAUCUUGCUGACCUUGGUGUUUUGAUUAAAGUGCCCAGGUAUCGCUGCCAUGCUCCAGGCUCAGAUAAAGUUUUGCCAAAGGC